UUUCUUUUGAAUUGGAUUGGAUUGAUCUGUGGCUGAGAUUGUGAGUUUUUAUUGUUUUUGUUUGAAUGGGACUAAAUAUUUGCAAGUUGGUGAGCAAGUGGGAGGAGGGAGGAGAGGGAGGAGGAGGGAUGGCUUUUUAAUGAUCCCCGUGUAUUCUCUCUCGUCUACUUUUCAAUUCCUUCACGCCAACCCCAAUCACCCCAUAUGACCCGUUCCAUCUCUCUCUCUCUCUCUCUCUCUCUCUCUCUCUCUCUCUCUCUCUCUCUCUCCAUUGCUGACCUGACUGCAUCAUCAUCAUGGGUCUUCUAUGGCUUUUUUGCUUUUUCAAUGGAAUUUAUUGAUCAAUAUUGGGAUUACAUCACUCAUGACCUACCUACCUGCUUCAAAAAUUCAUCAUCUCUCUCACCCAAUUAAUUUCAUUAAAGAAAAAUAAAAUAAAUAAAUAGAGGGUUGCCUUCCUAAUUAAUACUUUUGGGUUUGUAUAUAAUUUUCUGUUAUACAUACACAAUAAAUUAGCUAAUACAUUUCAAAAUGGAUAUUAACAAAUUAAUCUAAAUGGAUCAAUUCUUACUUUCUGCGGUCAACAUUAGUGUCCUGGAAACAAUAAAGACUUCCGUGAAACAUACUAAAUAUCCAGAUCAAUAAUGUUAUAACACGCAUCAUAUCACUUUUAACAAAACAAUGUAUCCAAUUGUUUUUCCAUGGAAAGACGGGGAAUUCACUUUUUCUUUUCAAUUUUCCCAUCUUCUUUUUCUACAGCCAGCCAUUUUGCUUUUAGAACGUACGGAAUAAGUAGUAGCUAGGGAACAAGGAGGGUGACACAUAAAUAGCUAGAAUGGGCAACCAGUGAGGUGUUGAGGGGGAUAGGGUAGGGGAUGCCAUUGCAUAGAUAGCCCAGAAGAUGCAUCUGAUCCAUAUAAUAAGAGGGUUUUUGAGUUUCCUUUACGACACAACAUUUUUAGAUGUGGAGAUGCCAACCACAUUAUUUUUUUUCCAAUGUAUUUUGGCACCUACAUUUUCAGCUAAUUACUCUAAAAUCCUAAUCACAGCUAGCUUGUCGAUCACACCAGUCCAAGUCUUAGGCCUUUCAAUGGGUUCCAUCCAACCAAUUGAAGAACAAGAGUUUUGAGUGGUGUCACAUCCAAUUAGCCAAUUUUCUACAUGAUCCAAUUACUGGUCAAGGGGACUUUUGACACAUCAGUAUUAGCUGCCUGCCAUCUAGUUAAUCUCAAGCAACAAAUUAAUUAACUGCUAAUUAUUCCCAUUAAAUAUUGUCUAUGUUCAGUUAAUGUACUAAUAACGACCCUUAUUUGACCUUAAUAUAUAUAUAUAUAUAUAUUUAUGAAUUAAGGUGGAAUGUUCAUGUUAAGCACUAGUUCAAGUUGUUUUGUCCUAAUUAAGCAAGGACAAGGAACCAUAUAUAUGAAACCCAGAUCGAUCUAUUUACAUAUCAACAUCUCACCAAAACUUGUAACAAUAUAUAUAUAUAGCUUAGCCUAGACACAUUGCUGUAAAUACAAUCCAAAUAAUUAAAGUACUUUGGCCCAGAGCAGCACAAACCAAUUCAAAACUAUUGCUGUCAAUAAACUACCAAGAAAUGCAUUUCAUCUGCUCCUAAUAAUUCCUGGAUAAGAAAAAACUUGAUCAUGAAAAUUGUUUCUCACCCACCACUUAGAGAAAAAAGCUUCAAAAGGGAGAAACCAGAGACUCCCCCCCAACAUGCAAGCAUCCAAUUAGGCCAAAUAGCUAUAGCUAGAAAGAAAAAAAAAACAGAGAAAUGAUUCAAAUGCUGCCUAAAAAGCACCAAUUACUUCCUACGACAACAUGGGGAAUCAGAAGCAGCUUGCAUUCCCUCAUUGCAAUUCUUGUAGCAACUCUUCUAAUUGGAGCUGUUUAUCUGACCCAAGAUGGUGGAUUGCAGCUAUUGUAUCAGGAUUGUACUAUAAUUACCACAUUGGAAACUAGAGCAGCAGGGGCAGAAGACCCAAAAUUGUCAAUUAGCAGCAGCAAAAGCAGAAGCAGUAGCAAAAGCAAAAGCAGCUGCAAUUUGUUUUCAGGGAAAUGGGUUUCUGAUAACCAGUCUUAUCCUAUGUAUAAAGAGAGACAGUGCACUUAUAUGUCAGAUCAAUUGGCUUGUGAGAAGUUUGGGAGAAAAGACUUGAGCUAUCAGAACUGGAGGUGGCAGCCCCACCAAUGUGACCUCCCUAGGUCUCUCUCUCAUCCCUCUUUUUUCUUUUUCUUUUUUUCUUUUCUGGGUUGUAAUUUCAUGCAAAUAUAUAAUAUGGGUUGUUCUUUUGGUUAAUGUUUUCAUAGGGUUUUUUGAGUUUUGUGGGACUUUGUUCAUGUAAUAUUAUAAGCUAGGUUCAAUGCCACAAAGUUGCUUGAGAGGCUAAGGAACAAGAGGCUUGUGUUUGUUGGGGACUCGUUGAAUAGAGGUCAGUGGGUUUCCAUGGUUUGCUUGGUCGAGUCUGCCAUCAAUCCAGACCUCAAAUCCAUGCCCACCAAAGCCAAUGGCUCUUUGCUCAUCUUCAAGGCCACUGUGAGUUUCCUUUUCCUCUCAAAAAAAACCCAAUUUAUUUGGGCCUGAUUGUAAUUAGCAAAAACUAAGGCCCAAAAUCACAUAUUUGCAUUGCAUAUUCUUCCACCAACAUAAUAAAAAUAGACAAAACAAAGAAACAGAAUCUUCUGCUGUCAGAAGUCUCAGUUUCUUAUGUUUCCUUCUCUUAUUAGUUUAAUAUAAUUCUGAUUACGACGACUAAUGUUUGUUUAAUCUGAUUUAAUUAAGGAAUACAAUGCCACGAUUGAGUUCUACUGGGCCCCAUUGCUGGUGGAAUCAAACUCUGAUGAUCCAGUGAACCACCGCGUACCAGAUCGGAUUGUAAGAGCGCAGGCAAUUGAAAAACAUGCAAGGCAUUGGACUGAUGCAGACGUUCUUGUUUUUAAUUCAUAUCUCUGGUGGAGAAGGUCCCAAAUGAACGUCUUGUAAGUAUAUUUUUGUUUUGCUAUUGCAUUGCAUGACCUCCAAAAACCCAAGCAACGCUUUAUGAUCAAAAUUAGGUAGAGGUUAGACAGAACUAACCAUUUGACUUUGCAUUAAUACUUAUUAUUAUUAUUAUUAUUAUUAUUUUUUUUUUGGCAAUGAUUAAGGUGGGGAUCUUUUGAAAGCCAAGAUGGGAUUUACAAGGAUGUUGAGAUGUUGAGGGUGUAUGAGAUGGCUCUCAGGACUUGGUCAGAUUGGUUGGAGGUCCAUGUUGAUCGAACCAAGACCAAAUUGUUUUUUGUUAGUAUGUCACCUACUCACCAAAGGUAUGCUUUAUUUUAUUUUAUUUUAUUUAAGAUAAAAAGACGACGAUAGUUGAUGUGUUAAUUAACAAUUGACUAUAAAAAUUAAUAUUAAUGUAAUAAGUACGCAUCAACGAAUCACCACGUCAUGUUGCAGUUCUAAAGAAUGGGGCGAGUCAAGUAGGGAGAAUUGCUACAAAGAAACACAGCCAAUUACAGAGGAGGGAUACUGGGGAAAUGGAUCAGAUCCUAAAAUGAUGCGUCUGGUUGAGAAUGUGCUUGAUGGGUUGAAAGUAAGAGGUCUAGAUGUACAAAUCCUCAACAUAACCCAACUCUCAGAGUACAGGAAAGAAGGGCAUCCAUCUAUUUACAGGAAGCAAUGGGAGCCUCUAACUGAAGAACAAGAAUCAAAUCCCAGCAGUUUUGCCGAUUGUAUACAUUGGUGCCUCCCUGGAGUGCCUGAUGUGUGGAAUGAGCUCCUCUAUGCUUACAUUUUUCAACAAUAACAACUUCUGUUUGGAAAAAAAAAAAAAAACCAAACAGAUCAAGCUUGUAACAUCUUAUUUGAAUUUGUAAAAAUCAUGAAUGUUGAUGGCAUGUUUACUAAUCCGUAAUUAGAUUAUGAGGAAUUGAAUUGAUGAUGAGUUAGAUUAAGGAGAAUUAGAUUUUGAAUUCCUAUUAAAGUUGUUUACUAAACCAUAUGGAUUGAGGGGAGUUAGAUUCCGAAUUCCUAUUGAAGUUGUUUAAUCACAUGGAAUUGGGGUUUAAGUAGUAUUAAUUACUAAAAUGUCCUCGUUGUUGGGUUAAAGUAGAUGACAAAUUUGGAAUUUUUAAAAUUGUGUGAGAAUAUAAUGGGUUAAAAAAAUGAAUUCCUAAUGGGUUAAUUUUUCAUGAAUUAGAAUACCACCUCCCAUCUAAGAAUUGAAUUCCUCCAAAAUUAGGAAUGGACUCCACUUGCUUUUUAAUUCUUUAAUGUAAAAUAAACACAGGAAUCCUCCAUAAUUGGAAUUAAAUUAGAAUUCCAAUUCCUGAUUAGUAAACACACAAUGAAUGAAUUAGAAACAUAAACACAAUGGUUUAACUCAAGUAAAUUUUUACUAAACACAUCAAAACAAAGUAAAAUUUAAUGUCCAUUUUUACCACUGUGAGAUAUGUCACAUGUUUCAGCAUUAACUUCAAAACACAUAGCCUGUUUUAGCAAAUCUCAAAGCAUAACAAAGUUAGAUUCUAAAGAAGUUUCACUUAAUGUUGCUUUACCUUUAUUUAGACAAAGUCUCUGCCUGUUAAUAUACUUUUCUAAUUUACCAAUAAAAGUCUUGAAUUUGCGUUUUAGUAUUCGUAUAGUAUGUAUGCGUUUAAUAUAUUAUCACCCCUCUUAUUAAGAGAAGCCUUAAAACAAAAAGCAAAUGAAGCUUGUAUUUGGGAAUUUUGGCUUCUCCUGAACGGUGUAGUUCCCUGACUGCAAACAAACAAAACAACCCACCAAUCCUAUUAUUACCCAAAGAAAACAACCAACCAAUCAUAUAAUCAACUUUUAUGAUAAUAUCUUAAUACUAAUUAAGGUAUAAUCUGACAUGUAAUGAUAAUAUAUGCAUGCUAAUAAAAUCUUAAAAAGUAAUGAGCAGAGUUGUUCAGCCUUAAACUUCCAAAGAGCAAGACAAAUUGAGCUGAUGAUUUACCAAAACAGUCCAAAAUAUUAGGUCUUUUUUUAAUAAUAGACAAUUAUUUUCUUCUCUCACGGUUGGUGCAUUAGCUUAGCCUUAAUAUUAUUUACCUGCCUGCAGCACCCUCUCAGUUUUUUUCAGACAAUGACUGUAUGAUUACUUGUAAUCUCUGACGCUUAUAUGAUGAUGAUUGAACAAAUGUUAAAAAAGCCCCUUUCAUAAUUCUUUCUCUUUCAAUUCUUUGGUCAAUCAAGCAAGACUCAGUCUUCACGAUGCAGAGGUGGAACAGAAAGAAAACCCAGUUUCCUGUAUUGGUGUUCCUCUUAUUUUUGUUCAUAGUGUUCUCAAAUCUCCACAGUGAAAAUAGCAUUCUGCAAAUUCAAGAUGGCCAUGAUCGUGCUCCUCGCCAUCAAGAUUCAAUCACUUAUGUAAAGCCAAAUCUUUUCAGCCGUCAAAACCAUGGUCCAGGUAUGGCAGUGUUUGGUUUAGCUAAAUAGGCCCUCUGGGUUCACUUUUCUGCAGUUGCUAAAUCUUUAUGUUAAUUCUUGAUCAAUUUAUUUACUGGGUCUGUUAAAUUAGUGGUCUUUCUUUGAUUUGGUGAAGUGGGUUGAAGUUGGUUUUUUUGUGAAUUUCAGAGAUUUUGGAUAGAUUCAGUACAUGCAACUCCACCAAAGAGUACAGUGGUCGGAAAAUUGCGUGGACUGACCGUAAGCCGAGGUACGGUCACCGGAGAGAGACUUUGGAGAGCUGUGACGUGUUCUCAGGCAAAUGGGUGUUUGAUAAUAAUUCCUAUCCGCUGUACAAGGAAUCGGACUGCCCAUACAUGUCUGACCAGUUGGCUUGUCACAAGCAUGGCAGGUCUGAUUUGGGCUACCAGUAUUGGAGGUGGCAACCUCACAACUGCAACUUGAAGAGGUAAAAGAGGUGCUCCUCUUUCUUUUAAUUGUUUUCCAAUAACCAGUUUAGAUUUUCCUUUGUUAAUGUGCUUGGUUGGAACAAGAAUUUUUCUCAUGGGUUCUUGAAUCAAUAAACUGGAAAUCAUUUUGAUGUGUAUCAAACUCGUGUCGAAUUACUAAUUAUAUUUCACUGAAUUGACUAGUAUGACUAGAAUGGUAUAUAAUUCAGCUGCUGUUGAGUUUUCUUUUGUGCCUGAUGUGAGGUUUCACUAAUAAUUUUUUUUUAUUCCCCUGUAGAUGGAAUGCAACUGAAAUGUGGGAGAAGUUGAGAGACAAAAGACUAAUGUUUGUAGGGGAUUCAUUGAACAGAGGGCAAUGGAUAUCAAUGGUGUGUUUGUUACAAUCUGUGAUUCCCGCAGAUAAGAGAUCCAUGUCGCCGAAUGCUGCUCUUACCAUUUUUAAAGCAGAGGUAAACAGAAUUUCCGUCUAAGAAGUAAGACUGCAACUGAAACAAACCUCAAUCUCAACUAACUGGGGCCUUGGUAUCUAUUAAGCUGCUCUUGUCUGACUAAGGCCAAAAUGUGUUUAAGUUAGAUAAUACAAUAUUCAUUAGGAAACAAUGAAAGCAAUAAUAAAUGUUUUCGAACAAGGACACACAUGAAGUUUUGGGUGUGCUUGCCUGAUUUCAUUGCAUGGCUAGCUGAAAGAUAUAAUCUUGAAUAUCUCAUUGCGCGGUUCUUCAUUGCUUUCUUCGUGUCCUUUGCAGGAAUAUAAUGCCACUGUGGAAUUUCUCUGGGCACCGCUUCUUGUAGAAUCUAAUUCUGAUGACCCAGUGAAUCACAGAUUGGAUGAUCGGAUAAUCCGUCCAGAUUCUGUUCUUAAGCAUGCAUCAGAAUGGGAAAAUGCUGAUAUAUUGAUUUUCAAUACCUACCUGUGGUGGCGACAAGGCCCAGUUAAGCUGUUGUGAGUAUGUUGGCAUUACCGUUCAGGUUUCAGUAUAUAUCUUAUAUAGAAACAUAAUGAAUUGAUAUCCUAAUUGAUCAGCUUACAAUUCAUACAGAUGGAGCGCUGAAGCAAACGGUGCUUGUGAAGAGUUAGACAGUCUUGGAGCCAUGGAGUUGGCCAUGGGUGCUUGGGCAGAUUGGGCUUCUAAGGUCAAUCCCCUCAAGAAGCGGGUCUUCUUUGUUACAAUGUCUCCUACACAUCUCUGGUUAUCCUACCACCUUUGCUCAUAUUUCUAGUGAAAGUUUUCAAUCUUGGAAAUAAGCUUGUUGAGACUUGAAUGAGGUGGUCAACUAGGCAUUGUCCUGGCAUACACUGGUCAACUUUAGGACUAUUUUAACUAUACAACUAUAUUAUGUCAAAAUUGAAGUCCAUAAAGAUUAGAGAGUCUCCAAGGAGUUAGACAUUAGACCUGUCCAAGAUACUCAACCAGUAUCCUUUUGUUCACUUAGGCUAGACUUGUGGGGUGACAGCUAUCUUGCCAUCUGUAUUUAGCUGUCGCUUAAUCUUGCCAUCUGUAAUUGCUCAUUCAUAAUUCUAAUUCAAUCUGUGUAUGAAUAACUCGUAGUUCCCUUAAGUUGAAACUUGAAUUAGAAUUAAAUCCUCCAUUUGAAGCAAACAUUAGGAUUAAUACAAAAUCCUGAUAUUAGUCUAGUUCUAGUUUUAGGGAGGACCUUAAACUGCAAUUUCAUACAUCUUUGGCUCAGCUCUAUAAAACUACAUUUUCAUCUGUUGGAACCUUUAUCCUAUGUAAUUUCCUGCAUUUUUAGGAGUCGAGAGUGGAAGCCAGAAAGUGAAGGUAAUUGUUAUAGCGAGACAUCCCCCAUUGAUUUGGAGGGCUACUGGGGAAGUGGUUCUGACCUGCCUACGAUGCACAUGGUGGAGAAAGUCCUCAGCAAGUUGAGUUCAAAGGUUUCCGUUCUCAAUAUUACUCAGUUAUCGGAGUACCGGAAAGAUGGUCACCCUUCCAUUUACCGCAAAUUCUGGGAGGCGCUGAAGCCUGAACAAUUGUCAAAUCCUGCGAGUUACUCGGAUUGCAUACACUGGUGCUUGCCUGGUCUACCUGAUGUAUGGAACGAGUUUUUAUUCCAUUUCUUGUGAACAAAUGUACAAUUCUUUCAAGGCCUUCUUAGUGGUUUCGUACAGCAAUUUGCCUUGUUUUCUCAACUCGUGUGCCAUUGUUACAUGAUUCCAUUCUUUGCAAAUAUAGUGCAAGCAUUCGACUUAUCCUCUGUUCUAGCAAUAUUAGAUCCAUGUAUGUAUGCUGGAUUUUCGUCAGUAUCAUGACUUCAUUUAUGAAUUCCUCCAAAUCUAAUACAUGAUACAGGGCUUAUGAAGUUAUGACCCACAACUGCAAAUAAAAUUGCAUUUAUUUGCUUCCUCAAGCAAUGAUUAUGUACAUUAAACCCAAUGCACAGUAAAACAAAAAAUGGAGCUUCAUAUUUGAUGAUGAGCAGUGAGUCGGAGCAACAUGGGAACAGUUUCCAAAGUAAAAUAAAAUGGGGAGAGAGAGAGAGAGAGAGAGAGAGCGGUACAAGGCGUUUAAAACUUUUGAACUCUCAUAUGCAAUAUGCCGUAGCUGUAAGGGAGAUAGCUACAACGCCUUCAACCCUUCACAAUUCACUAUUGUACAAACAUUUACUCACAUAAUAGAGAUAUGUGGACGAGACGAGAUACGUUAUAGUCGUUUACGUGCGCGUAUGUAAUUAAUAAUGUUAAAUCACAUGUACUUAUCAAGGAAGAAGAAUCUGUUUCAGAUUCUUUUUAAUCACAAUAGUUGACUUGUUCUUCAAAUAUUUUGUAUGUACUGUCAUUCAAGACUUUUGCCGUUUAUAUAUUUAUUGUGCAAUUAUAAAUAUUGUAAUAUUUACACAAAGGAAUACAACUUGAAUUCAAACUCUUACAUGGUAUCAGCCUAAACGACCCCUUUCUCUUCCAAGCGAUAACUUUUUCCCCCUCUCUCUCUCUAGCCGAACCCUCAUGGCCUCUCCAUCUUCCUCCUUCUCUCUUCCUGGUCACCACUCCUCCCAUUUCAUCAAGCUCACCGACACCAACUACCUCUUCUGGCUCCGACAAAUAAAACAUUUUCUCAUUGAUCACGGCUUGUGAAAAUAUGUUGAUGGCUCCUCUCCUCAACCUUCUCCCUUUCUGCCCCUACCCACACCCUCUCCUAACCAAGCACCUGCUCCUCCUCACUCUAAUCCUACCUAUGAAACAUGGUUUCAACAAGACCAACUCAUUGUCAGUUACCUUACCAGCACUCUAUCUGAAUAAGUGUUGUCUCUCACCAUUGGUUGCGACUCCUCAAAAGCAAUUUGGGACUGCUUACAACGCCACUUCUUUCAGACUUCGAUGGCCAGCAAAUCAAUCCUCCGUUUUCAACUCAUAGACCUGUAAAAAGGAACAUAAACUGUGGACCAAUACCUUCGUCAAGCCAAAUCUAUUGCAGACUCACUUGCUGCCAUCAAUGACCCCGUAUCCAAUAAGGAUCUCGUCACUGGCGUUCUUCGUGGCUUGGGUCUUGAUUACAAAAUGUUGGUAACUGCUCUUCUAAAUUUUCCUUCUUUUCCUGAUUUUGCUUACCUGCGUGCUCGAUUGUUCUCCUAUAAAGCUCAGACUCCUUACACUGAUCUUGUUUACACUAGCUAAUCCACGACUCUCAUGGCCACUCAGUCUCAACCAUUUUUCUCUCACCGUGGUGGCUCUUCUAGUCGUGGCACUGGACAUGGGUGCAACGGUGGUAGUAGUGGUCUCGGCCAAGGAGGUCGAGGUUGGAACUCGCAGUAGCAUCCAUUCCAACCAUGGUAUUCCAAUGGCUCUCCUGGCCCAUAAAGUGGUUGGCAGCAGCAGUCUAAUCCCGCCUGGGCUAACAACUGGCAGCAGCAACCCUCAGCCUCCCAAUGGCCCAACCAUUCUCCAUGGCACCCUGGGUCCUAACCCCAGUCAUCGUCCUUAUGGCUCAUUAUCAACAACAAUCGGUCCCAGACUCCUGGCCUCCUGGGCCCCCCAUGGUGCCCCAUGUACAUCACUGCCCAACAAACUCACACAUCUGUCCCUACUUCUUCCGUGGCUUUGAAAAUUUUCCUCCAUUUGUGAGUGCAUAAUUUCUCCAAUCUCCUAACAAUACCUCGAAUCUUGACACCAGAGCCACCCAUCAUAUGACUAGUACUGCCACCAACCUUUAGAACCCCCAAUCCUACAUGGGUAAUGACUCCAUAUAUUUGGGUAACGGUGAUUCUCUAACCAUUUCAUCCACUGGUACUCUUCCUAUUUCUUUAGGCUCUUCCAUAUAUUCUCUUCGUAAUGUUUAUCAUGUUCCUUCUCUCCGUACUAAUCUUCUUUCCGUAGCUCGCUUUACUCGUGAUAAUUCUGUCUCUUUUGUAUUUAAUCCCAUUUCUUUUCAAAUUUAUGACUUACAAACUAGUACUCUUCUUUUUCAGGUCCCAUAUUAAGAUGGUCUCCAUCCUCUCUCUUUUCCAUCAUAUUUUCCCGUCAAGCAUGCCUUUGCUUCCAUUAAUUCCACUGAUUGGCAUCGUCGUCUUAGUCAUCCAUCUUCGGCUAUUUUGUCUCGUCUUUCUUCUUCAUUAAAUCUCAAAUUAAAUAAUGAAUUUUGUAAUACUUGUGCCCUUCGCAAAUCUACUCAAUUACCAUUUCUAUUAAUGAAAUUCAUGCCCAUUCUCCCUUUUUAUUAUUCACUCUGAUGUUUGGACGUCCCGUGUCACUUCUUCAACUGGUUUUCAAUAUUAUGUCUUAUUUACAAAUGAAUAUUCCCGGUAUACAUGGAUUUAUCCCAUGCGUCGCAAAAGUGAGGACUUUUACCAUUUUCAAACUCUUAUUUCCAUGAUACAUAACAUCUUCAAUUCCUCCAUCAAAUUUCUUCAAAAUGACAAUGGCACUGAAUAUGAUGACAACUCUUUCACUUAAUACUGUCACAAAUUAGGCAUUCAACAACGAUUCUUAUGUUCCUACAACAAAAUGACCAUGCUGAACGUAAACACCGCCACAUUGCCACAAUAAUUUGAACCCUCCUCACUACAGCACAUGCCCUUCACAUACUUUGCGUUGACGCGACACUUACUGUUGUACACCUUAUAAUCUCUUACCCACCCCAAUCCUAUCCUGGCAAACCCCAUACACCAAACUCUUUAACCAACCUCUUGUCUAUUUGGUUGUUCUUGUUACCCACAUCUUGGUGUUUACAGAGAAAACAAACUUGCCAACCGUACCACUGAAUAUGUGUUUCUUGGCUACAAUACUCAAUAUAAAGGCUAUCGCUGCCUCGAUCCCUCAACUAGUCGUGUAUAUACCUCUCGACAUGUUUUAUUUAAAGAAACAAGUUUUCCUUUUCAGCAUUUGCAGGUCUCAUCCUUCCCGGAGUAUACUGAAAUAAAUUUCUAUCAUGUGGUCUCUGCCUUUCAUUCUCUAGCACAUAUGGCCACUCUAGGACCAUCUCCACAUGUGCACAUCCCACUGAGGCCCACACAGGACAUUUGCCACGUUUGGCAGCUCCAUCAUUCCACAAGCUUCUAGUACCUCCAUUAUUCCACAAGCUUCCGGCACCUCCAUCAUUCCACAAGCUUCCGGCACCUCCAUCCUUCUACAAGCAGUAAUCCCCACACCACGACACAGCAGGGGUCUAGGUAGCGCAACACCCUUUAGUCCACAUGGCGCGCCUCUUUUUGAGCCAGUCCAGGCCCUGCUCCAUACAUAUUCCAGAAGAUAUUGCAUACCACCUACGUAACCUGCGCAAGCACCGCUGGUCCUUGCUCUCAUUCCCAUUACGGACCCAGCUUCUCCACCACCUAUUGAACCAGCAUCGCCACCGCGUGCUCAUCCCAUGUGCACAAGUCUGUGUGAUGGCAUCUCUCAGCCUAAAAAUCGCACCGAAGGCAUAGUUUGAUACCCGAUCCCUCGUGCUCUUUUAACUGUCAUUGACGAUAUUGAACCCACUUGUUUUUCUCAUGCUUCCAAAAAUCCAACAUGGCGCGAGGCAAUGUCUGAAGAAAUCAAUGCCUUGCUGCAGAAUUAGACUUGGUCUCUUAUUCCUCAAUCUCACAUACACACUCUAGUCGGUUAUAAAUGGGUCUUCCACAUCAAGCAUCACUCUGAUGACAUUAUUGAACGCUACAAGUCCUGCUUGGCAUUGACUACUUUGAGACCUUUAGCCCUGUUGUCAAAGUAGCCACAAUUCGCACUGGUCUCAGUCUUGCUGUUUCCCGCUGAUGGUCUUUACUGUAACUCGAUGUCAAAAAUGCAUUCCUUCAAGAAGACGUAUAUAUGGUUUAGCCCAUGGUUUUGUGAACCCUGCUCAUCCCACUCAUGUCUGUAAACCUCACAAGUCUCUUUAUGGCCUCAAACAAGCUCCACGUGCAUGGUUUAAUCGUAUCAGCACCUUUCUCUUAUCCCUUGGUUUUUCAAGAAGUUUGGCAGACUCUUCACUUUUUAUCUUUCAGCAAGGAUCCCACACCAUCUUUCUCCUCUUGUAUGUUGAUGACAUUGUGAUUACUGGCAGUGAUUCUUCUCUUUUACAUAAUUUUAUAUAUGUUUUAAGCUGCCAAUUUGACAUCAAGGACCUUGGUCCUCUUAGUUACUUCUUGGGUUUAUAGGUUGUCUCUCAUGAUGGUGCUCUUCAUCUCAAUCAACUCAAGUAUGUUCAUGAUUUGUUACACAAGAGUAAUCUCCUACAUGCCAAGCCCGCUUCUACUCCUCUUGCAACCAAGUUUGUUCUAACUACCAGUGAUGGUGACUUGCUUGCUUCUCCCGCAGAAUACCAUGAACUUGUGGGGCCGUCAACACUAUGGCCCAGUUUAUGAGCUCUUCUCGCUCUCCUCACAUGGUUGCCAUCAAAAGGAUUCUCCGUUAUGUUAAGGGCGCCAUUGACUUUGGCCUCCAUUUUACACCCCAAAGUCCUUCCACUCGUCUCAUUGUUUACUCAGAUGCUGAUUGGGUUGGGUGCGCAGACUCCCGCCGUUCGACAACUGGCUACCUCAUCUACUUGGGCUCCAAUCUUAUUUCCUGGUGCUCUAAAAAGCAGCCAUCAGUUUCGAGCUCCAGUGCGGAAUCUGAGUACCGUGCUCUUGCUUAUGCAUGUGUCGAAUCUUCUUGGCUUUGUUCUCUGUUACAUGAACUGGGUGUUCGACUGUCUUUUCUAGUUCUCAUGCAUUGUACAAUCUCAGCACAACUUAUAUGGCGGCAAACACGGUAUUCCAUGCUCGCACUCGCCACAUUGAACUUGACUAUCACUUUGUUCGCGAGAAGGUGGCCCUUGGGAGUCAUUAAGUCUGCUUCAUCCCUUUUGUUGAUCAACUUACGGAUCUUCUCACUAUGCCACGACACCAUCUCUUAUGUUCCAAACUUAUUCGUCCGAGGAAGAAGAAUCUGAAACGGAUUCUUCUUAAUCACAAUAGUUGACUUGCUCUCCAAAUAUUUUAUAUUUACUGUCAUUCAAGACUUUUACCGUUUAUAUCUUUAUUGUGCAAUUAUAAAUAUUAUAAUAUUUACACACAAAAAUACAACUUGAAUUCAAACCCUUACAAAUAACUUAAACAAAAAUGACAAGAUAAAUGCGAACAAAUAUUCAGAAACAUAACUACUCGUGUACUACACAUAUCAAGUAGUAAAUUCGAAAGCCAAAACUAGUUACUGUGAAUUUUGUACAGCUCAUCUUAUGCUCAGUGUCUUUCGUACCGGAUCAUCUGUGCGCACUGCACACAUUCACAACAUGAUUGCUAUGCAAUUGUCAUGCAUGGAUGCAUGGAUGCAUGGAUGCAUGCAGAGGCAGGUGUAGAGGAGCCAUUAACAUCCAUAUAUUCAUAGCUUUGACAGGAAGAUAGGGCGCCUGAUCCGCUUAUGGCGUUGGCUGCAUUACUCAUGUGAAGACAACCAUCACCCUACAUUAAUAUCAAUAUUAAUAUUAUACACCGCCAAAAGAUCCGUCUGCUUCUGCUUGCCAAUGGCCAACAACAUAAAUCUUGGGGCUUGUUGGGCCCCACCCCCACACGCUAUAUGCUCACAUUUUAUAUGAAAUAUAGCUUGAUCUCCGCUUUGACUUUUUUGACUCAUUGUUUUUAGGGUCCCUUCGUUUGUCCGUUCCAGCCAUGGGAAGAAGAUGAUCACCUCUUUUACGGGAUCAAGCAAAAGAUUGUCCUCCUAUAUAAUAUUACUCUCUACUGUACUUUCAAGCACUACCACUAAAUUUACUUUUAUUUUUUACAGUGAAAUGUUUUAUUAUCUAACUACCUACAUAUUUGUCAGAGAAUAGAACGUUACCCCCGUUAUUUGUAUUAAAUUAACUUAGUUACAAUGCGAAUCUAAUUGUAAUUUGGUGUUGACCCAUUGAAACACUUUGAAUUAGCUGGAUCAUGAGAUAGAGAUCUAUAUGGUCCCAGUUGCCCACAUUGAUAGCCGAUUAAUGGUCCAGAAAUGGCCACCACCACCACCACCGGAUCUCUUCACUAAGACUGGCCCCUGCAAUCUCUGAGUGAUACGGGCUCACCGAGCCACAAACCUAAAUUCAUCAUUUUACUGACAAUUUCAUGGCCCUACCAGAUUUGUUUAAGCUGCCCUUUUUAACAAGAGAGAAUAUUUGCAACUUAAUUAAUAGGAGAUUAGAAUGAUUGGGAGAAAAAAUAAUAGGAGAAUGAUGAGAUAUAAUAAGGAUGAGAGCGGGACACCUGGAGGGAGAAUUUAGCUCAAAUUAGAGGAGAUAAACAUGUGCUAAUCUAACAGUUCUCUUUUGGUCCAAUUGAAAUCAAAAGGAUAGUUGGUCCAAUCCAAAAUUAGAAGGUGAAAUGUUUCUUUCAUUGUAUCGUAAUGGAAAGGAGGAGGUGAGGAAGGAGUACUUAGAAGAAAAUAACAUAAUUAGGAUCGUGAUUUGUCCUCGCAAUCAUACAUUGUAAAUGACAAUGUGCGCAAAAUCCAUCAAAAGAGGAUAUUUGCAAAAGAGGUUGUCAAAUCUAAUAGAUACGUAUCUCCUCCAGUCGUCAAGUCCCAACCCCCAAAUUCAAGCAACCUAACCUAGGCCUAACAUGCAUUUCAAAUAAGAAGAAUGUUAAGUAACGUAAUUCGUGAGUUACUAACUACGAAGAAUGUUAAAUGACGUGAUUUAUGAUUCGUAAACUAUUAAUGCAUGUGAUUCAUAUAAUAUAUUUCUUUAGCAUUAUUUGAAUUUGAAUUACGUUAAGUAAAUUCCGAAUACAUACAAUUAUUUUGAGCUUAUAGCGGGAUUGAUUGAGUUAAGAAUUGAGAAUAACGGUGAUAUGAUGAAGUAUAGUCAAAUAAUAUUUGUUGGGAUCUUUGACUUUGUCAUGGGUGGCAUCAUGAUUGAUGAUGAGUGAAUUCAGCGAUCCAAAAGACUAAAAACCAGUGAAGAGUGCGUGGUGCAGCAGAGCAUGGCAGGGUCCCGUCAUCAAUUCGUAGCCCAAGAGCAUGAUGACAAAAAGUAAGAGUAUGACCAAACUACCCUCUGAGAAGUAAGAGGGAGCGGAGCCCUUGGAGGGCAUUUUAGGGAAGAAUGUGCAUCGGGGAGCGUGAAGGGGAGUCUGGAAUUUCUGGCCCCUUCUCUCUGGGCAUGUAGUAAAAGUAGGGUUCAGGGAGGGAGGAAAGGAGGAGGCCCUGCCUGGGACUCCGGGUAGCAGAAAAUGAAAGUCAGGACUCUGCAAUUUCCAAGGCACUCACUCACUCUCCCAGGAGUGACCACAACACUUUCAUUUUUUUUUUAAAUUUGAGAUUACCAAAAAACCUUAUGUUAAUGUUAAUAUGUUAUGCAUUUCAUUUCAUGUUCAUGCAUGCAUAAUGCAUUUCAUUGACGCAUGCAAUGCAAUGCAAUGCAACACAUGUCGUUUGUUGUGACAUAAAGUUUCUCAGACCGACACCAAAACCAAACAAUUAGGAAACCGUCCUAAAUUGUUGGUGAUGAAAUUCCUAAAUUGUGCCUCUACACGCAGCUCCAUUACAUAAAUACCCCAAAAUAGAAAGACAAAAGUAAAAAUAUAAUAUGUUAAUGGACAAAUAUGUAAUUAAAACUAGCUUAGAGUUUGAUAAUUGAUACCAAUCAAUUCAUAAGUGUUCAAGUACAUGCACAAAACACCGUACGUAUUUUAAGAGGAAGAAAAGUAACGUAGUCGGCAGGGGCAUAAAAUUAAAAUUAAAAAGAUAUUUAGCUACUCACAACACAGACAUGAAUUUGUCAAGUUUUUUAAAUUUUAAUGACGUUUUGUAAUUUUGCAUAAUUUUGUAUAUUUUCCGACGUACCCUCGUUUUAGCUCCUCAGCUGCUAUAAAUAUUGGUGCUGCCCUUCUCAUAAGUCUCAUAAUCAGAUUUCAGAAGCAUUUAAGUUACUCUGCUGCCUCUCUUUACCAAAAGGGCUAAAAGGCAUCUUCUUGGUUUUUAAACAGUAUGGAAGAAUCUGUUAAGCUCAGGAGGGAUAGCGCCAUUCUUGGUUUGGUUUUAGACCAUGUAUUGCGCUAUCCAUCCUGAGUUUCAUGGCUUCCUCUUGCUCUCUCUCUCUCUCUCUCUCUCUCUCUCUCUCUUCUUUGCAGCCAAGCCAAGGGAUUGAAACUUGUGGCCUUGUAAGUAUAUAUGCUGCUUGAAAGAUGAAACAUCUGCAGAAUCAGUUUGGUUUUAUGUUAAUUUUGUGCUUUGCUAGCUGUUUGUUUAAAAUGAUGAGUCCAGUUGGUUUUGGAGUUCAUUUUUCUCUAUCCCUUUACAUCAAUCUUGCUCAGUUUAAAUCUCUCUUGGUUUAGAAGCUACAUCUUUCUUGAAGCUUACCCAGAACCAGAAGGAAAAAAACUAAUUUUCUCACAUUUGCUUGGUUUCCUUGUAUAACCCAUUGUGAGCCUUUAAAAGUAGAUAAAAAUAUACCAAAAAAAGACAUGAGAUAUUGAAGAACUUAUCCAUAGUCACAUGUUAAGGUGGGGCGAAGGAUGUUGACCACUUCCAACCUGGUGAUGUUAUAAGUCAGGGUCUCAGAUAUUUCUCUUUCAUUUACCUGAACUUUAGCUAAAAGGUUGGUCCAUGUUCGUACGUUUAGAUAUUAUUAUUUUUCCAUUUCAGGUAAAAAUAGUUUCCACUUCCUUUGCUUGCUGCUUCUUCCAAAAUAUCAUUCAUUUACUCAUCACUUGCUUUGAUUUUUAUUUUAUUUUCCACCUUUUCUUUCCAAGGAUUCUGUUUUUCCUAUGUUGGAAUUUUGUGUAUCUUUGGCUAAAACUGCUCUUCACAUUUAGAAAUCAGAAAAUUGCUUUUUGUGCAAAUAGAGACUUGCCAGGUAGCUUUUGGUUUUCCUAAUCAAAUAGAGAGCUGUGGUGCUGUGUUGGGUUAAAAACUGCAAUGUCAUUACUAAUUGUUGUGUUAUUUGUCUCAAAACAUCGAAGGGUUAUCUACUUUGGGCUCAAUGAUUGCAGGUUGUUGCAAUAUCGGGAAUGAAUGAGAGGAUUGAGAUGAGGGCCAACCAUGAGUAGAAUUAGUUGCCAAGGCUCUUUGGUCAAGCAGAUUUUUACCCUGUGAAACACUUACAUGAAACGGAGAUAUCACUAUUUUGAUAUUCCUGGUCAAUCACAGUAUUGAUAAUUUCGAUUGAUCGAAGAUAGCAAAACAGUGUUAUCUCUGUUUCAUACAAGUUUUUUUUUGACUAAUUUGAGAGCCUAUGAAGAAUCUUCACUUGUCCAAUCUACCUGUUCAAGUUUGACUUAAUGUACCACAAGGUGGAAGGAAAAGUACUUCUUUUUAUGCAUUGUACUGGAUAUGAAAUCAAUUAUAGUUAUGGACAUACCAAUCUUAUUUAAAUGCGUGGGAAAAAGUAAGAGUUUUAUAGUUUAAGUGGUUAAGAAUAUUUUUAAGAGUUUUUAAAUUUUAGUUAAAAUAGUUAGAAAGUCAUUAUAGCAAAUUACUUAAAAAGUGUUUUCUCUAACAAUAUUCUUUAUUUUGGUUCAUCUCUAAUAUUGUGUUAUUUCUCUCACCUCCUCUCUAAAUUAAAAGUUUAUUAAAAAAAAAAAAAGUAAGAGGUGAGAGAGGGUUGUGUGCCUAGGAAGAGAGAAAAGGAAGAAAUGGAGAACUUUCAAUUUCUUUCUCCUCCUCUCUAAAUGUAGAGAGCCACCAAACUUAAAUAGAGAGUUUCACUAAAUAAAAAGUCAGAUAGCAAGUCUGUUGGAAUUGCAUUUUGCACUCAUUCUAGUCAAAAUGACUAAGGAUCAAAGUAUAGCAACUCUGUUAGAGAUACUCUAACAACAGUUAUUUAUGCACCCGAAAUCAUGUGUUUAAAUACCCCCUCUCCUCUUAUCGCUUGUAUCAAAAAAGAUGUGCAAGGAAAAAACUUGAAGAUUAUGCACCAAAGCUAAAAUAAUAUAAAAGCAAAACAAAGGCCAAAAAAGAAAAAGGAAAAAUAGCAUUGUUUAAUUUCAGGAACCAUUGGGCUUCAAUUCAUGGCAACCAUAUACUUUUUAGCCGCGCCGUAGGCCCGUUAGGCCCAACAAGAGAUAUUUUCAUGAGAGCCAAAUCUAACCGUUAAAAUCGUAAAUAAGAUAAAACAACACCGAAACAUAUGGUUGCAGGCCUUCUUCAACAUUACACACUGUUUCUUCAUAAAAGGAGUCCUCGUUUUGUCUGUCUAAGAAAUUUGAAAAUGGCGAGUGGUCUCUCACACCACCUUCUCUGUAUAUAUUCCUCAAAAACCAACCCACCAUUUUCUAAAACACAUUCACUGAUCAGAAACCCAAAACGUUCCAUUGGUCUCCGGACCCUCCUCAAGUCAUCGUCUCCCAAAAACUCCAACACUUCACUGCAAAGCUCGCAGGAAGAACCCAAGCCCAUUGUCACUCCUAAACAGACCAAUCGCCCCGGCCCAAACCCACCUUCCAAAUUGUCUUAUUUCGACUCCUUCUUCAUUCGGCUUCGCCGUUUAAGGUAAAUUAGAGUGUAUCUUAUGCUAUGUACCCAAUUGCAAAUUCAUGAGAGACCAGUUUUGGUGUUCUGUUUGUUUUUGUAAGAUUGUAAUUUUGAAUUUUGAAUACACAAUUGCAGAGAUGAAAGUUUUAUGUUUGAUGGGAUUGCGGUGGACAUUUUGUCAAUUGCUUUGCCUGCAGCUCUGGCUCUGGCUGCUGACCCCAUCACCUCUUUGGUUGACACAGCCUUUGUUGGGCAUUUGGGUAAAGCUUUGUUCUUUGGUGAAUUAAUAAAGGAUUGAGCUUGUUUUUUAAUUAAUAGUAAUAGUAUUGUGUUUGUGUGUGUGUGUUUUUUGUGUUGUGUAGGGUCUGUUGAAUUGGCAGCAGUUGGGGUGUCUGCUUCAGUAUUCAACUUAGUUUCUAAAUUGUUUAACGUUCCAUUGCUCAACAUCACCACAUCUUUUGUUGCUGAAGAGCAGGCAUUGGCUAUUAAGGCUGAGGAUAGUUCAAAUUCAAUUGGUCCUGAUGGUAAUUAUUAAUUCCUCUAGGAAGCCUUGCAUAUUUGUUGUUUUUUGUUCAUUGCUUUAAUAAAAAAAUGAGUUUAUUUAUUUAUUUAUUUUAUAUAAAAAGAUUGCCAGGGUGAUAGCCAAAGCAAAAAGCUCCUUCCCUCGGUAUCAACUUCGUUGGGUCUUGCUGCCACCAUUGGCAUUGCUGAAGCUGUUGCACUUUUUCUUGGGUCGGGUGUGUUGAUGAAUGUCAUGGGUAUACCUGCUGUAUGUCAUACUUAACCAACUAUGAGCUUAUGUGAUGAAUGCUAAAUUAUUACAUAUCUUAAUUUCGUUGUUUGUUUAGUUUUUACUGUUGCAUUUUUACUAGUAUACAGCAAACAUUUUUAGUCAUUUUCUGCAAAAUAUAGACUUUAUCACUGUGUUAAAUGAAAGUCUGAUAAGGAUGGAAGAGAAGGAUUAGCACAUGUAAUUUGGCAAAUUUUUUAACUGUGGGAUGUGUAUUUUUUUAUGCAUUAUGGAACUGACUGAUGAUGUUUCUGUAGUUUUUAAUUGAGGUUUGCUAUUCUUAUAGGAUUCACCCAUGCGAAUACCUGCCGAGCAAUUUCUUGCCCUAAGGGCAUUUGGUGCUCCACCCAUUGUAAUUGCACUUGCUGCACAAGGCACAUUUCGUGGAUUUAAGGACACGAAGACACCUCUGUAUGCCGUUGGUAAACUUACUAUGAGUUGCCUUGUCCUGGACAUAUGUUUUAUAAGUAUUUUCUAGCUGAUUAAAUGACCAAGUCUGCUUCUUCUUUUUUUCCCUUUUUUUUAAUCUCAGUUGCUGGCAACAUACUUAAUGCUAUAUUGGAUGUGAUAUUGAUAUUUAUUUUCGAUUUUGGAAUUCGCGGUGCCGCUAUUGCUACGGUGAUUUCUGAGUACGUCAAUGAUGUGGUAAACUUAAUUAUACUUGUGUAUUUAGAUCUUGAUGUUCCUAUUGUCAAAUUUUGUCAAAUUUUCUCUCUAACAGAACUUUUUAUGUCGAUUUCUUGCAAGGUAUUUGAUCGCUGCUAUUCUUCUGUGGAAGUUGAAUAGCAAAGUGUUCCUUGUCCCUUCUUAUAUUGAUGGGAGAAGAAUCAUAGGUUACCUUCAAUCUGGUAGGUCUUUUUUAAAACUUGCUUAUAAAAUGGAGACUAUAGAGAUGUUUUCUUCAAUUUCUAAAUGUGUUUGUUCUAUUUUGCAGGGGGUCUUCUUAUUGGCAGAAGCUUAGCAGUGGUGUUAACUACGACACUAGCCACAUCUGUGGCAGCUAGAGAAGGCCCUAUACCUAUGGCUGGUCAUCAGAUUUGCAUCCAAGUUUGGUUGGCAAUAUCUUUGCUUACAGACGCUUUAGCACUUGCUGGUCAGGUGUGACUUUCUUGACUUUACAAGUGUCAUAUCACAUAUGUGAUCAAAUUACACAGAAUGAAUUGAACAAAAUUAUCAUUGUGAUGUUGUUUCUUCAGACACUUCUUGCCAGUGGUUACUCCCAACAAAAUUAUGACCAAGCACGCCGAGUUAUAUAUAGAGUUCUACAGGUUGAAAUUCUUCUCUUUUUAACCGUUUCAUUCUCAUCGUUGAUUGAUAUCCUCUUUUUCCUCCACCUCUUUUAUGGCAUCGACACCAUGGCUAACGCGAAUCUCCAUUUACCGUUCUUUGAAUUUCAAACAGCUUGGCCUAGUGAUGGGAACUGGUUUGGCAGUUAUAUUGUUCAUCAGUUUUAAACCGUUUUCUAGCUUAUUCAGCACAGAUCCACAAGUUCUUACAAUUGCAUGGUCUGGUAUAUUGGUAAGGAACUUCAUAUCUGAAUAGUUUACAUGUUGGAAACCUAUGUACCUGAUGUGGACACUGUUUUUCAGUUUGUUGCUGGAUCUCAGCCAAUAAAUGCUCUAGCAUUUGUUCUUGACGGACUGUACUAUGGAGUUUCAGAUUUUGGAUAUGCUUCCUAUUCGAUGGUAUUCCCUGAUCCUAUCAUGAAAGGUAAUCGGUUAUGCCAUAUAUUGUUCUCUCAUCUCUCUUUUUCUUUUCAUGAGUAGGUACUUGUAGGACUGAUUUCUUCAAUCUUCAUUCUUGUUGCUUCUCCUGCUUUUGGCCUUGCUGGAGUCUGGACCGGGUUGUUCCUCUUCAUGGCAUUGCGUGUAAUAGCUGGAAUGUGGAGGUAAAUAAAUUCCUUUAUGAACUCAAGUCACACAUUAGGUUGAGGACCACCUAGUUUACUCUAGGCUAAAUGGUCAUAAGAGUCUAAUGUAUCUUACUUCACUAUAGUUUUCUCUGGCUAUCAAAAGCUGCAAAUAUGUGCAACUUAAUUUCUCCCUGAUAAAUAUUAUUCCGCUACAGGUUGGGCACAAAGAGUGGACCAUGGAAAUUGGUCUGGGAUAAGAGGAAGCUGGAAAGUUAGUGUGACAUAGGCUCAUCUCCUAGUAAAGGAGAACACAAACUAAUCAGGGGAUUUCGAACACAAGUAACUGCUCCAAAGUUUGAUGCUGAUGGAGUAACCUGUUGUCUCUGCUCCAGUGAUGACAUGGGUUUUGUUCUGGUGGUCAAGGGCCUAUCCAAUUACUAAGACCGGCCAGAUCAACAAGAAGGUGGCUUUUAUUGAGCUUCUGGCUACUCACUGGAUUUAGUAUGCGAAGGACGCAGAAGUUGAUCAGAGUUCCAAACCAAGAUUUCUUCCCUUCCAUACUUAACCAGGUUCUUGUAGUUUAGGUGCUUUUUGAAUUUUGUAUAUAAAUUAAUGCUGUUCAUGUUUCUCACAACUGUAGCCCCCAAAAUGUCUCAGAUGUAUACAUUUUCUCAAGGAAAAAAGGCAACCAUUUGUGACAAAAUAAUAUCAGAUGAUUUAUGAACUGUUUUAUUGUAAGGAAAGGAAAGAAUAGUCUUUUUGUUAUUGAAAGACUCCAAAAAUUUCAAUUAGCGUGGCUCAGGAUAUGUUUGUUAAAACACGUACAGGAGGCAACCUUAAUAUCAACUAGGGCUGUCUUUCGGCCGGAUCGGAUCGGAAACAGCAAUUCCAAUUCCAAUCCAAUAUCUUUCGGAAUUCAAUAUAGAGUUCCGAUUCCGAUUCCAAAAAAAUUUGGAAAUUUUUGGAAGAUUCCGAUUCCGAAGCUCUUAACUGACAAAAAAAAUUUAAGAGAUUUAAAUGCCCAAACUAGCAUUUUGUAAAAAUCUCAACUAAACUUUAAUCAAGAAAACCCAGCUUAGGGGUUUAACAACUAGUCCAACAGGAACUUUACAGGCCCAAAUAGGUUGUACUUUUAUGUCCCUACACAAAAUGACUGAGUUUGAAGAUAUUUAUAAAGGACUAAACACCUAAAGUUUAUUCUUGCAGUCGAUAUGGGACUCCAACAAGAAAUGGGAGUGCAACUUCUCUCUCCACUCUUUUCUUGAUUUCUACUUGGUUACUCAUCCAUCACUUCUCCUCUCUCUUCCGUUUCUUCCUUUCUAAUCCAUGAAUGCCAACCUUCAUUUUCUUUCUUAAAACUCUUCAGAUAUGGAACAAUAUGUACGGAUCCCGUUAGGAAAAAAACAAAUACACUUCUCCAACCAAAAAAGAAAUCAUUCUUCAAUUCUUUAUCUCUACUGUUUCUUCUCUUGCAUUUUUAUUUUUCUGGGUUUGCACUAAAUCAUUUAUCCGAUGUAUAUGUUCUCCAUUGAAUCCUCAUUGGAGCUCUCUUCCCUUGUUGCAAUACCCCACACCAUCCAGAUUUUUUCUUUAUCAUUUAUUUUUCUGUUUCUGCACAAAUUCAUUACUUUUUUGGUAUUGAGAUGGAAUGAAAACCUUUAAUUAAGAAAGAAAGAAAAUCAAAGAAUGAGUUUUAAAAAUUUAGAAAUGUUUCCUUCUUUUUUUCGUCACUUCAAUUCAAUGUAGGAUUGGAAAAAAAACGCAGAUGGUUUUUUUUAAAAGUUAUAAUUGCCUUGGACCUCCUCUUUCUGAUUAUCCUUGGAACCUAUUAUAAUUGCCCAAGGCAUAGCUUAUUUUGAAAGUUAUAGCAUGUUUGAAUUCACCUUAUAUAUAUAUAUAUAUAUAUAUAUAUAUAACAAUCUAUUAUUUUAUAUACAACAAUCUAUAUAGUAUAUUGAUUAUUAAUCAAAAUAAUUUAUCCUACAUAUUAUAUAUUUAUAUUUUGUUCAUGUGAAUCAAAUUUUUUUGAUUCCAUGCUAAAGAUGGAUUCACAUUCAUCAAUUGAUGCUCAAGACUCAAGUUAUAGCCGAGUGACUAUCACAUUGGUUUUAAAUUCUAGUGGGUCAUGAACAUGUAUAAAGAGUGUUAGACGUUAAUCAUGCUCUAGACAGUUGUAAUACUACAAUUUUCAGAUUGGAAUACUACAAUUGUUAAAGCUCCAAUUAAUAUACGCACAUUAUAUGUGGUGUUUCAUGUAUAAAAUGAUUUUAUAAUUAAAAGUUUAAUUGAAGAUAGUUUAUAAUUUUAAAAAUACAUACAUAAAUAUAAAAUGAAAUAGUAUAAUACUUCCUACAUUUACCAUAUAUGUACAUAGUACAUAUGGAUAUAACAAGCACACAUAUGCACCUUUUUGUUAUAUUAAAUCAAGCAUAUUUGCCAAAUAUAUAUAUAGUCUUAAAGUUACAUACUACUAUGUUUAGUUUUUUUUUUUUUUUUGUCAAGCCUAUAUUUAGUAUGUACAAAUAUUUGUAUGUGGGUACUAAAACUUAACAAAUAAGAAAUGAAACAUAUAUAAGACCUAUAAACUAAAAAUAAUGCAAUUAUACUUAGAAACUCGGAAUUUUUCGGAAAAAAAUUGAAAAAAUCGGAUCGGAAUGGAUUCGGAGAACUUCGGAAUUUUUCGGAUUGGAAUUUCGGAAUGUUCGGCAUUUAUUGGAAUUUUCGGAUUUCGUCAUUUUCGGAUAUCGGAUUUAUCGGAGUCGAAUUUUUUUGGAAAAAAUCAGACCGGAAUCGGUCGGAAUCGGAUUUUCCAAUCCAACUUACACCCCUAAUAUCAACCAAACAAAACCAAACCUAAGUGUGGUGGCCAAAGGGCAUAAUAUGAUAUUAUUAAGAGAAUCAUGUUGACACCUACAAAAUGUUUACAAAAUGACACAAAGAUUCUAAAAUGAAAAGACAAUUUCCAUCACAAUGGAAGAUGGAGACUUAUUUUUUUUUCCCUGCAACAAAAUACAGCUAAUUCACUUAGUUUGAUCCUUGUUCCAAAGAAAAUCUCAGAAUCCUUCUGCAAGUCUGCACGAACAUGAAUCACAAGCACUGCAGCACAGAAUACCAAAACGCAUGUCGUUGAUUAAACCUCCUUUGUAGAAACAUAAACUACAAUAUCAACAAGCAUCCAAUUCAGCUAGUCUCAACUAAGAGUAAGGGAACCAUGAACCAUGAAACACCUGCUCUUCUAAUACACCUGAAUCAUAAUUUUGCCUGAACAAAUCUACAUCGAAAUCGAUGUCUAAACUUGCUUCCUCCGUAUGAGCCAACCUUCCUGGUAUGUUACCCUGUGGUUGUGUCUGUGAUUGGUUAGGGAGAUUAGGCAGCCUUUCCCCUUGUUGGUUCUGAGCAUCAAUGCCAUAUGAUUCUUCUACAGACCAAUUAUGCAAGUUGGCAAGUCUGUUCUCCUGCAUUUUUAUAUCAUUUGAAGGCCUAAUGUCAUCUAAGCAAGCAUAACUAUCUAUGAAGCCAUUAUGGCCAUUUAAGUUCGUAGUUUCUACAAGACCUCCCCGCAAUUCUUGAUCCGUCAUUGAUCUCUUAAUUUCAUCGUUAGAUGGCUCAAAAUCGGCUGUUACCAGAUUGCUGGCCACAUUUGUCUGCUCAUUAUGCAUAUAGUGGCAGCUAUCAUCUAGGCCAUUGUGACUUCCGGAUUCCAGAAUCAUGGGAAAUUCUUUCUCCAUGGCUUCGCUCGUUACAGGUUUCUCAACAUUAACAUCCUCUGAAGGGUUGCAAUCAUUUCUUCCAUUGCAUUCCGCAUCUACAAGCUCAUUAUUUAAGUAAUCGUUGUUGGACCUCAAAAAAGUCUCCAAAGAUUCCCAAUCAUUAUAAUAAGGCUUCCCAUCAGGUACUGAAUCAAGAUUCACAACCUGUAGCUCAUUAUGCAAGUAAUCAGGCCUAUGGUUGAAGCUUUCAUAACUCCCGGUUUGAAAAACACUAGUUUCUUCAGCAUCAUUUCUGGCAAGCUCAUACUCAGUUUCCAAUUCACAUUUCACAUCUUUAGCUUCUCUUAGAGUAGCAUCUAACACCUCUAAAUCCUGUGACGCAAAACCCACAGAACAAUCAGUUUCUUGCUUCGGCUCUUUAUGCACACAAUCCUCAAAGAAGUCAUAACUUUCCUUUGAUUUGCCUACCACAAAUCGAGAGCUUUCCAUAGCACACUUGCUGCUCAUGUCCAAUCCCUCUGCCUCAUCCCCAUUAUUAUAUGUUGUUGAAGACUCAUAUGAUGAUGAUGUUGUUGUUUUAGUUGUUCCAGAAUACACAGAAUUAGAAUACUCCUUCAAUUUCAUAGUGUUUUGUGGAAAGUUGAGCCUGGCCAAACCACCAUACAUGGCCCUUGCAGCUUCAUCAUAAGCAAAAGCAGCAUCAUAGGCUGUAGGGAAAGUACCAAGCCAAAGACGACUGUUCUUCUUUGACACACCACUAAAAUUAUUUGGUUCUCGAAUUUCAGCUACCCACUUGCCCCAAGUCCUCUGCCUAACACCUCUAUAAACACAAUCUGAGUUCUCAGGCCCUCCUUUCCCUUUCAUACAUCCCUUUUUGGACCCCUUAGAUGGGGCCUUCCGCUUCUUUUUCACUCCAUCUUUUGCAAAAUCAAAUCUGUCAUUGUAAUUCUUCCAUUUAGCCAGAGUGUCCUCAAUUGAAUCACAACCAUUACGUCUCUUGGGCAAUUUUUUAUCCCUGAAAGAAAACAAGUACCAAAAAGAAAAAAGAAUUAGAACUUUCUUUAGACUGGUCGAAGUUUCAUGAAAUUCAAAGUUGGCUCUGUAACUUUUAAACAACCAACAUGGACAAAAUUUACAGGCCCCUAGAAAAAAAGAGACUUCAAAAUUUCCCAAAACUUCAAUUUCUCAUAGUACACAAUCAUAAUGGAGAAAGAUAACAAAGUAGAGGAACCAAACACAAAACCCCAGAUGGGGAAGAUGAAAGAAAACCCAUUAUAAAAGAAGAAAUGAAAACAUGCCUCAAAGAACUCACCCGUCAGAAGCCUCAGACGUCAUGGGAACUCAGAAAGAUGUCUGCUUUCCUCUUCUCUUUUUGUGGGUCUGCUUAUUCUACUCUUCUCUCAGGCUUCCUUCUUGUUAUGUGUAAAAACUGAUAAAAGGGUUUAUCUGGGGUUUAAGUACGCGUUUAGCGUUUGCCCCUUGAGCAAGGUUUUGAGGCGUUUGAAGAGUUUGGUUUAUCUGUUUUCGGCCAGCCAGAAAGCAAGGCCCCCUGUUCCUGCUAAUAAAGCAAGCUUGUCGUCACUAUGACUUGGGGACGAAGGCAAACUGUGAGAUAUUCCCGAAAAGGAUAUGUGUGAAAUGAUGACAUGAACUAUUCGUCGCAGCCUUAUUUAUGGCAUCCUUUUGUGACACGUAGACUUUGUACCCUGUUUUGUCCCACGUUUUCUUGGCCACGAAGACUUGGGUUUUCUAUUUGUCCAUGAUCUCUCACAGUUUGCUGAUUUCUUUUAUGUUAGUUUAAUUGGCAGUUGGUGCUCCAAUAUAAAGCUGGUUUAAUAGUAAUUAGAAUUUAAUGCACCUCUGUUUGAUUAGGAAGAAACUAGUGCAAGAGUCCUAAUCUUCGGUCAAACAAAAAUAUUUGAAUAUGAAGUGCCCUUGACGCAGCAAAAGGUGAUUUAUUGAGACAAGAAAGAGUCGAGAGUUCAGCUUUUCUGAUUUCAAAACCCCAGAAAUAAAAAGAGGUUGAUUUGUUUGUUUAAUAAAAUUGUUCCUCAUAAGACCUCUAACUUAAUGAAAAAGGAAUUUAAUUUGCAGACUAGAGAUAAGGGCGAAGGUAAGUAAGGACCAGUGCAGUUACUGGUCUUCACUCAACUUUUUUUCUUUUUUAAAAAAUGUAAUAUGUAUUGCUAUAUUGAAUUAAUAUGUUUAUUUUAUCACGUAGGCCAGCAGCCAAAUCCUGUUUCCCUUUCCACCAAGCUCCACUUUUCUUUCUUUUUUCCAAAGGUUUAUGGCUCUUAUUAUUAUAUAUUUACCCUUUUACAAAAAUUGAUAAAAUCCUAACCAUUUUUCUCCUUUCUUGGAGAUACACAAGCAGCAAAGCAGACUUUCUCAAUGCACUGCCUGUGGGUUUUUCUCUCAAACUCCAUAUUAAACUAUCAAGUUUUAAUUAGGUUAAUUUAUUCAAUAUCAAGUUUUUAUUAGGUUAAUUUAUUCAAUUAAAAUUUUUUUUAGUAGUUCUCUUAUUUAUUUUUUUUUGUAUUUAUUUAUUUUUAGUUCAUAAAAUUUUGAUUUUUUUUCUUUUUAUUGAUUUUAAGAAAAAUUAGGUAUUAAACAUAAAUAACUUUAGGGAGACUUUGGAAAAACCCAAAGGAGAGAGAAAUUUUUUAAAAGAAGUUAAAAUGGACAAAGUUGUCCUUAUUUAUUUUUGGAUUUCUUAAUGAAUCAUUUACAUUUGCAUGUCUUUAAUUUGAAAGUCGAGAGGUUUUUCUGUCUUUUUUGAAAAAGCUUUGGCUUUUUCCAAAAGUGAAAGUUUUUUUAUGACUAAAACCUAAAUUUACUAUAACUUUACUAAUUAGUAUUUGAGAUAUUAGGUAUUUUUGUUUGGGUUUUAAUACCUAGGAAAAAAUUGUUAUUUUGGAUUAGACCAAAGAGGAAGCCCAAAUUCAUUGGGUCAGCUUAAAACUAAAAGCUUAAAAGACAAUGCUACCCUUUUCCUUAAAAAAACCUGGCCCGUCUUUAAAACCUACAAAAUAAAAGUAAAUUUAGGUUUUACCCAUAAAAAAACUUUCACUUUUGGAAAAAGCCAAAGCUUUUUCAAAAAAGACAGAAAAACCUCUCAACUUUCAAAUCAAAGACAUGCAAAUGUAAAGGAUUCCUUAGGAAAUCAAAAAAUAAAUAAGGGCAAUUUUGUCUAUUUUGGCUUCUUUUAAAAAAUUUCUCUCUCCUUUGGGCUUUUCCAAAGUCUCCCCAAAAUAAAUGACUCUUUAAACUACGACGAACCUUUCGCUGCAAAGCACAAAACUCUUCUUCUUCUCUCGCUGAAAAAUCAAUCAUCAAUCAUAGUACCCUUCUUCUUCUUUCCCAAAACCCUAACCACAAAACUCUCCUGCAAAGCCGAACCUUUCACUUCCUCUCUUCACUUUGCCCAAUGCCUUCCAUCACCAUUACAACCAGAUGUAGCCCCAGACAGCAGUUCCACAAAGCACACCACCCUCCUUGUUGAGACCUUCCAUGAGCACCAGAGGCUCAAAGCCUUACUUCAGAAGCUCAUCAAUGGCUUUUGCCCUCUACAAUUGCUUGGAGAAGACGGUGAUUGGACCAAAGACCAACUUUGGGCUGCCAUCAGAUUCCUUAAACAUACUUUCAGGUUCAAUGAAAUUCUUCAAGUGCUUUUUUAUUUUUUUCCCUCUCUCGUUAUUUCUUGCUUUAUUAAUUCCAAUAAGUCUAGGAUUUGCAAUUUGGAUAUUGGGUUCUGGGUUUUGAAUUUUGAGGGGUUACCAAUGGAAUUUUUUAAUUUUAGUUUAUUUUUUUAUCAUUUUUUUUUAUAGAGAAUUUAUUUUUGGUCAUAUGGUGUGAAUUUCUUUAAUAAGCUGGGAACCUGUGGUAUAUUUGGUUGCCAAGAAAGCCAGAAAAGUAAUGCAAGAAAAAAAAUGGUUGCUAUGAUUUCUGUUCUGUAGUGUUCUAGAAAUGGUGAAAAUGUUUGCCUAGUUAAGCUCAACUAAAUUGAUUUUUUUUCAUAGAACUGAGGAUUUAGGAAAAAGUUCACUGUGUAUUCAUAUGUUUUAUCUUUUUAUUUUUUUUUAUUGUUCUUUUCUUUCGUUGUUUCUUUUUUAUUUUCCUAAGCAUCUAAAAUGAGCAUCAUGAGAAGUAGUUGUCUAUGUUUCUUAUUGAAAUUGUUACUCUGGGAACUCUAAACAGUUGUUCGAUAUGUGGAAGAACAUCGAGAAAUCACGGAUUAAUGAGUUCAACUACAACAAGAUAAUAGGUCUGAUGGUAUUGCAAGAUAAUAGGUAAUAUUGAAAUGAAGCUGUUUGUAGGGAGUCGAUUUUCCAGUUUUCGUGUAAUGUUUUUUUGUUAGUUGCUCAAUUCUUGUGAUAUUAAUUUCAUAUCAGACUUCACAUCAAUAUUUUGAUCUAUUGUUUAAAUCUCCACCUUGCAUCCUUAUUAUUUUAGUCGUUGAUAUCUAUUGUCAAUGGUAUUGCAAAACUUUUUGGUUUAGCUUUUUGGUGCAUGGGUUUGAACUUUUUGAUUUGGAAAUGGUAUUGCAAAACUACAUUGUACAGGUUUGCAUUGUAGUUUUGCACAAACUACAUUGCAGUUUUCAUUUAAUUACAAUUUGAUUUUUGUUCUUUCCUUGGCCUUCAACCUCACCAAUUUUAAGAGUAGAGGCUACACAUAUGAGGAAUUGGGUGGGCAAGAGAAGAGUAGAACUACCCAAGAGCAUGGGAACUCAAAAUUAGACUUUUGGAACCUAGAAACUGCAUUGCAGUUUUGGAAAAUGCAUUGCAGUUUUCAUUUAAUUACAAUUGGAUUUUUGCUCUUUCUUUGGCCUUCAACCUCACCAAUUUGAAGAGUAGAGGCUACCCAGAUGAGGAAUGGGAUGGGCAAGAAAAGAGUAGAACUACCCAAGAGCAAGGGAACUCAAAAUUGGACUUUUGGGAACUGGAAACUGCAUUGCAGUUUUUAUUUAAUUACAAUUUGAUUUUUGUUCUUUCCUCGGCCUUCAACCUCACCAAUUUGAAGAGUAGAGGCUAGCCAGAUGAGGAAUUGGGUGGGCAAGAGAAGAGUAGAACUAUCCAAUAGCAAGGGAACUCAAAAUUGGUCUUUUGGAAACUGAAAACUGCAUUGCAGUUUCCAUUUAAUUACAAUUGUUUUUGUUUUUGUUUUAGGUUUUUUUUAUUAACAUAAUUGAUAUCUACAUUGUAUUUUUGUUGCAGUUUCUGUUUUUAUUUGCAGUUUUUGUGUGAAUAAGUGUUGCAGUUUCUAUUCCAUAUUUCUAUUUUAGAAUAAUUUUUGCAAGUCUAUGGGAAUAUUACAACUGUUCAUCGACUUAAAUGUGCUUUGAACUUAGUUUUAGUACUUUAAUCAUGGUUUUGCCUCUUGGUUUCUAUACAAAUAUGAGCAGAUAUUUGUCAUAAAAUGCACUGCAAUUUCCGUUUGUUGCAAUUUUUGAUAAGAAACUGCAGUGCUAUUUCCUGUUCCAUAUUUCGAUUAUAGAAUAAUUUUUCCAAGUCUAUGGGAAUGUUACUACUGCUUAUCUACUUAUAUGUGUUUUGAACUUAGUUUUAGUACUUUAAUCAUGGCUUUGCCUUUUGGUUUCUUUUCACUUUUGGGCAUAUUUUUUUCAUAAACUGCACUGAAGUUUUUGUUUGUUGCAUUUUUUUAUCAGAAACUGCAAUGCAGUUUCCUGUUCCAUAUUUCAAUUUUAGAAUAAUUUUUCCAAGUCUAUGGGAAUGCUAGAACUACUCAUCGACUUAAAUGUGUUUUGAACUUAGUUUUAGUACUUUGAUCAUGGAUUUGCUUUUUGGUUUCUUUGCAAAUUUGAGCAAAUGUUGCCAUAAACUGCGUUGCAGUUUCAGUUUGUUGCAGUUUCCGUUUGUUGUAGUUUUUGAUCAGACACUUCAAUGAAAUUUCCUGUUCCAUUUCCGUUUGUUGCAUCUUGUUAUAAUAUUAUAUGACAGUAGAGAUAUAUAACAAAUUUUUUUCUCAGAUUAGGUUGACCACAUCAUUGUUGUAAUCAACAACCUCAUCUUCCUCUUCUUCUUCUCCAACUUCUUUUUUUGCUUUCCCUUUGUUUGUUUUCUUCUUUUGUUUUGUGUUGGUCUUUUCUUUCUUUGGUUUGUUUGCCACAACAAUUUUCUUGUGUAAUUCUUCUUCUACGAGGCCUUUUGAUGGUUUUGUUUGUAGUUUUGGUUUUACUUUUUUUUAUACAGUUUUUGCAUGAAUCUGUGUUGAAAUUAUUUUUUUAUUUUUUUUAAUUUUUUAAUCGAUGAUUGUUUAUAUAAAUAUUGUGUAAUUGAAUAAAUAUCACAAAAACGAGUUUGGUGUAGUGGUUUGUGAGUGAGGCUUCCUCAUUUGAGGGUCAAGGUUCGAGUCCCUGUAAUGACACAAAUUCUUCUAUUUUUUGAGGGUGAAUAAAGGGCAAUGGAGUUAGUCCCCGGUUGGACGGAGAUGGGUGGCGGUGGUUGGCCAAUGAUGGGCGGUGGCGGUAGGUGGCGGCGGCUCGUCGGCGGUGGUGGCAGCAGGCCGGAAGGGGGUUGACCGGCGGCGGAAGUGGUGGUUGGCCGGAAGGAGGUUGGCUGACGGCAGGUGGUGGUGGUUGACCGGCGGCGGAGGUGGUGGUUGGCCGGCGGCCGGUGGUAGUGGUUGACCGGCGACGGCGGCAGCUAGCCGGAAGGAGGUUGUCUGGCGGUAGGUGGUGGUGGUUGGCCGGCGGCGGCGGCGGUGGUAGCUGACCGGAAGGGAGAUUGCCGGAGGUGGACAUGUGGCAUAGUGUGCUUGCUUUUAAAGGAGUGGCAUUCUGUGUAAUUUUGAUGUUUUUUAAUUACAUUAUUGUAAAAUUAAUACUACUUUUUGGUUUUUGGCCUUAUGCUAAUUAGGUGAAAUUGUAUUCCUAUCUUCCAAAUUAGUAAACUAUAUAGUGUCUUAAAAUGAAAGCUCCCUUGAUUUUAAUUGAUCUUUUAAUUUAUGUAUAAAUGAUUGCUUCGUUGCAUAUAUUGAGAGAGACAUUUCCAAUAGUAUAGAUGACGAGGUUGUUAUGCAACGAUUUCAAAAUAUGAAAACUCGUCAAGAACAAUGAUGAUUGUAAUGAAUAUACAAUAUGAUUUUUGAUGUUUUGGUAUGUUUUGUGAGUUCAAAUUUUUUAUUGUUUAUAUUUUGUGAGAGGCUCCCACGCACAUGAAAUUCUGGCUUCGCCACUGCUAGAUGUAUUAGGUUUGAAUUCCCACGAUAUCAUAGUUGUGUGUGUGAGAAAUUCCCCUCCCAUAUAAUUUAGACUAUCCCUUGUGCUAAAAAAAAAUUCCCCAUAAAUAUACUUUAUUAUACUAAAAUAGUGCAUUGAAAAUGUUUUGGUCCUAUUUUAUCCAAAAUUCAUGAUGUUUAUGCUUAGUUUUUUGCUAUAAAAAAAUAUAAUAAUAAUAAAUAAUAGAAGUAGGAGGUUUCAUAGCUUGUAACAAUAGCUUUUAAAUAAUAAAAAAUAUUUUAAUAUAGAUAACCAAUAGUGAGGGGAAAUUGAAUAGAAAGUAGGAGGUUGUUUCUUGGAAAAUUCUUCGAAUCAAUUCAUUUAACUUCUCUUAUAUCUAUGAGUUUAGACACAAAAAAGUGGGGAUAGGGUUUGCCCGUUUUUAAGAGAUGGGACUUGGAUUGGAAAGCUUGACCAUCGUGAACGUGAACAAGCCUCCCUAUAUAAUAUAUAUAUAUAUAUAUAUAUAUAUAUAUAAAAUCCCAUCAACCAUUGUCACACAGUCAUACUGUUGACAAAUCACAACACAAUGAAUUGCUUUCCAAUCACAAAAGUACCAACAAAUCAGACGCAUGUGAUCCCCGAAAAAGAAGAAGAAAAAAAGGACAAAUUUUGGAAAUCUUCUUUGUUCAGUUUUCUGGUAGGCACAAGGCCCAAACAUGGAAUCUAUAUGGGCCUUGAGCAACCCAAACAAACAGUUUUCUGGGUAUUCAUGGCGGAACGAAGGCCCAAACAUGGUCAUUUUACUGCUCUCUGACCAUUACUUAAAAUUUUACGCCUCUCAUUUUUGACACAACGACGUUUUCUUGUGAUGGGAGCUCCCUUUGGUUGGUGGUUUUGCUGGUAAUAUGGGAACUGAACAAAUCUUACAAGCUAAUAAUCAUGGCCUUGAACUGGUGGGCAAGGAGGGUCCUUUCCUAAUUUUCUGAGAUGGCAAUUGUGCUGCUUAUCGUCGGCCUCUUGAAUUUGUUGUUAGGUUGUCGUGUUGCGUAUGCUUGAAUCAAUGAAAGGAGAAACAAACAUAGGCAGGUGAAAGAUGAAAAUAUUGCACAAUCAUUUGCUUUCUUCUUCUUCCCCCUUAUAAAUGGACAAGAUACAGCAAGUGCACAUAUAACUGAAAGGACGCAGGGUAUCAAAUCAUCCCCAUCUUCAAGACCACGAAAACAUGCCACACCGUAAUUAGUACAAGAAAACACUUCCAUGGUUCCAACAGAUCUUCAUCUCAAAAGUCACCAACUGCAUGAUGCAUCGAAUGUCAACUAAAUCUUACAUAUACAUGAGCUACCACAUCAUCAAGCAGGAAACUUUCCUGUAUGCUGUGAUUCCAACAGAAAACCACAACAAACGUGAGGCGCAGAACACUACACAAGGAUUCACCGACUUAAUUACUCGUCGUUUUUGCAAGUGAGAAUAUAGCUUCCCACCAUGAAGGAUUCACUGAUUCCAGAACAAGAUAAAGAAGACAAAAGUGAGGCACAUAAAGCUGAAUUUGUGGGCUGACUUAAAAUCUCUUCAAAUACAUGAAAAUUGGUAGUCAUGAAAUUUGUGGACUGAUUUUUAACGGUAGUCAACCUACGACAACUCCAAAUACAUGAAAAUUGGUGCUAGAGAGACCUUCCGUUCAUCGUUUUAUUCACUUACAAAACAAUGUGAUUCCACAUAAGAGUAAUUAUUAGUUAUCAUCGUAGAACAGAAAUUGAAGGUCCGCAGAUAAGGGGAAUCAAACAUUUGAAAUACAACCAUUACAAGACAAUUAUUAACAAUGAGGUGCCCAAUUUUUGUAUAGAGGGUGCAGAGGGCUGAGAACAACAAUCUACUGUAACGGUAAUGCAUGUCUCACCUAAAAAAUUAAAAAAAGAUUUGUUAACUACAGUAGACAACAUACAAGGUAGACUCGACAGAAAUCUAGACAGGGCCGUCUCAGGCGGUUGAUAUGUGUUGGUGAUAAUGGAAGUGGACAAGCUCAGCUACCAGAGAAAGCCUUCAGAAAAGAAACCUAAAAGGAACUAGAAUCUGGACUGGAGUAAGAAGAGACAUGUUGAAAGUACGGAAAUGCUAAAUUUGUAAAUGGAAAUACUGCAAGAUUCAAUAUGUAAAAAAAGGAACACAACAUUAUGUGGAAGAAACAACGAUCAAACAAUUUAAAGAGACAAUGCAAAACAUGAGGGCAAUGUUGAGCUUUGUACUAAGACUUUACACAACAUUAUUAAUGUCAGAUAAUUCACUAAUAUAGGUUCAUUGCUUCACUCAAUACAUGAAAUAAACUAAACACGAAGGAAAAGGAAAAUUACCCUGACAUCACCACAAAACACCAUCGGCAAUAAUCAAGCAAUUACUCCAACGCAGCAGACCUUGCAGCUUUGUACCUUAACUUCCUAUUGAGAUUUUCCUGCCAAAAUUUGCCAAAAGAAUGAAUUCACAACUUCCAAAUAUGGUAUGCAGAGCACACACUUAGCAUUGAAAAUGAAUAAAAAAUAAAAAAUAAAAAAUAAUGGCAUACAAGUUCAAUAUUGCAAUUGAUAAAUUCAUGACAAUUUGACUGCUUUGACAAAAUCCCAUCCAAAUUUACAUACAAUUUCCCGAAAAUUUACUAAAUUCAGUAAAGGCUCACCUGCUCAAGAACGUUAGCGGAGCUCUUCUCAACGAGCGUGGUCAAGCUUUCAAUCUUCACAAGCAUUUUCUCAUACAAAUCCUCCACGCCAGUCGUGUAAUUCGCAGCCUCCGAACCCAUUAGCCUACUGAGGCUCCCAACCUCCAACCCCUGAGUGCACAUAUCCAACUCGCUCUGGUCCUUGUUAACUUGCCUCAACUGAUCCAAAUUCUCCUCUCCUCUGUCCACAAUCAUCGGCGAAACCCUCAGCUCGAAUGGCAAAUUGGGAAAAGGCGAGUUGGGACUGAAGUUCUCGUACUGGGCUCGAAACGCCGGCCCAAUGUUGACGAUUUGAAUUGAUUUGGGCUCGAAGGAGUGUUUGGAUGCACGGAAGUGGUAGGCCCGGUACUCGUGGGUGUGGAUGGUCUGAUCGGUGAUCGGAGAAGCGAAUAGGAGAAAGAGGGAAGGAACGAGAUUAGGGCUGGAGGGGCCUUCUGGAGGGUUUUGGAUUGGGAACGUGAGAUUGGGGUUGGAGGAGAGAGCGUUGGAGACUGAGAAUUCUCUGAGAGAGGGACGGAGGUGGGUUUUGCGGCGGCCGGAGAACCAGCCGAGGAGGUGGGCGGAGGGGGAUUGGGCCUGGGCCAGGACCAGGCGGCGGAGGAGGACCGGGUCGACCCGGCCGGAGGAGUUGUAAAAGGAGUGGGUGGAGCCGGAGCAGAAGAAGCCGGUAAUGGUGGCGAUGAGAGUGGCGGAGGAGGUGGAAUUGGGAGAGUCGUCGGUGAGGGUGGGGGCGAUGUGGCUGACGUGGCCGAAGAUCAGACCGUCGACGGAGCCUUGGGAGGUUGAGAAGCGUUGGAUCAUGGAGGCUAGGGCUGGCCCUGAUAUUGCUACUUUGUCGAUGGAAGGGUCUUCCAUUGCAUUAGAAAUUUGAGCUCUGAGGAGAGAGAGCGAGAGAGAGAGAUUGAGCUCUUACAGAGAGUCUCAGGCUAGUCACCAGAUUGCGCGAACAAGCAGAAGUGAAUUAAAUGGCAGUUGGGUUGGAAUGUAAUUUUACCAUAUUGCGCGAAAAAUAUAGGCAAUAUUAAAUUUGUAUUUAUUUACUUAUUUUUUAAAUGGCAUUUUAUUUUAGGAAUAACAUGAAAGUAUUUGAUUAGAAGAGAGUGAUGGGAAAGUAAGUGACACUAAUUUGGUUGUCAACACUUUUAAGUGCUGCAAUUUCAUAACUUUAUUGACUUCUGUUUGUUUAACGUUUAACAGAAACACAACUUGGAUAAAAAGAAUACAUUAUAAUUUAUUAUCAUCCUCGACCAAAAGAAUCAAACAAUAACCUAUAUUUACAUAUACUAAUUUAUAAAGAAUUUUCAAUGCCUACCUCUUCCUAAACCUGUGAACAAAGUAAUUUUAUAACAAAACCCUCCUUUAUAAUAAUAAAUAAUAAAACCCUGACUCUCAUUUGUUGUUGCUGUUGAUGAUGGAAACAAACCCUUUUUAGUCAGUUGUUGAUGGUGGUGGUACUUCUUCUGUGCCUUCUUCAGCAGAGCCAACAUUUGCCUCAGGCUGCUGAAUCUCCUCUAGCUGAUGCAGAACUUGCUGAGCUUCUGGUCGCGCCGCUGGCGAUGGAUCCACGCAGUGCAGAGACAGUUUCAAUGUGUUAAGCAGCACAUCACCUAUGGUUGGCACAUCCCUCAUGAGCUCCAAAUCGAAAACUUCGUUUGUCCACUCCUCUUUCACAAUGGAUGCCACCCACUGGGGCAAAUCCAUGCCGUUCAUUGGUUCCCCGGGAGACUUCCCUGUCAGGAGCUCCAAUAUGAUCACCCCAAGGCUGUACACAUCAGUCUUUGUUGUGCUCUUCUUGGCCUUUGAGAGCUCUGGUGCAUUGUAGCCAAGGGUUCCUGCAGUGGCAAUCACAUUGGUGUUUGCAGCCGCCGUCAUGAGCCGGGAAAGGCCGAAGUCUGCAAUGUGACCGUUGGUCUGCUCAUCUAGCAGUAUGUUGCUGGAUGUGAGAUUCCCAUGUAUGAUGUUCUCCUGGUUGUGCAGGUGGCAGAGUCCACGCGUCACACCGAUCGCUAUGUUCAUCCUUGUUGGCCAAUCAAUGAUGGUUUCGGGCCCUCGAGCUGCAUAAGAUGCUACAUUAGCAUGUUGGCCAACAUUUACAGUAUAUAGUUGUAUCAAACAAUCAGGAAAACCAUGAGCUAUAGUUGAAUCAACUUACCAUGAAGGAAGGAUGCAAGACUGCCAUUAGGCAUGUAAUCAAAGACCAGAAGCUUCUCUCCCUUAGGUCCCAAGUAAUAGGCCCUCAGAGCUAGGAGAUUUGGGUGCCGGAUCUUCCCAAGUGCCGCAGCUUCAGUUUCAAACUCCUUUUGACCCUUUGUAGUCUUUUCCCUCAACCUCUUCACUGCAACUUGAUUACCUUCCUCUAAUGUUGCCUUAUAUGCAGUCCCAUAUGUACUCUUUCCCAUUAUCUCAGCAGUGGCACACAAUAGGUCAUCAGCUGUAAAAACAAAUGGCCCAUCAAAGUGAACAAGCUUUCCACCAGCUUCACCGCCAUAUUCCACUCCGGUGGUAGCAGGAGCCGCCUUGUCAGUGCUCCCAGCAGCAGCCUGCUUGACAGUUUUAUCAUUCUUUCCCUUUGAAGCAGACCUUUUCCUGACCAAGCAAACAAGCAAAAUGCAGCAGAGUAGAAGCAGAACGGCUAGGAGGGCACCUGCUGCUAUGAGAAUUAUAUCUUUCGUACUUAGUUUGUGGUGAUGCUUUUUCUUCAAAGGCCGUGUUGGUGGAGAUGGAAGAAUCUGAGGUGGGGGAGAAGAGCAAGGAGUUGAAGUGCUAUAGCCACAUAGCUGAAGAUUCCCCACAAAAGAGCUGGAAUUGAACUUUUUGGAGAGGAGGGAUGGGACUGGGCCAGAGAGAUUGUUGUGAGAAACAUUGAAGGAAGUGAGAUUGGCUAGGCUGCCAAGUGAAGCAGGAAUUUCUCCACUGAAUUUAUUUUCAGAUAAAUCAACUUGGUAAAUUCCAGAAAUAUUCCCAAUAGAUGCUGGAAUAUGGCCACUGAAAUUAUUCUUCCUCAGGUUGAGUACUGAGAGGUUCUGCAAUCUGUCAAGGCCUUCUGGAAUUUCUCCACUGAAUUUAUUUUCAGAUAAAUCAACUUGGUAAAUUCCAGAAAUAUUCCCAAUAGAUGCUGGAAUAUGGCCACUGAAAUUAUUCUUCCUCAGGUUGAGUACUGAGAGGUUCUGCAAUCUGUCAAGGCCUUCUGGGAUGUGGUUAUCGAGGCGAUUGCCCUCUAGAUUCAAUGAAACAAGGGAGGAGAGGUUGGAAAAGCUAGAAGGAAAGCUUCCAUUGAUAGCAUUGUUGGAUAAGUC
rnacentral:lncRNA from 1 species